GUUCCGCGUUCGUUCCGCAACGCUGUGCAACUUCCCAUAUGUUAUCGAACACUGAACGUGUGUCUCAUUAGGUGCGCGUCGCCAUUACAGCCUCUAAACCUCAGAGGAACAUUGGACUAAUUGUGUGCGUCCACUCAAACGAACCAAGAUUGAUAUAUAAACAAGAUUAUCCUUGUUUACCUAUUUGUCGAUUUGCUUGAGAUCUUUUUAAUUAAAAUAGCGGUCUAUGUUAUUGUACUAGAGUGUAACAUAUCCGAUUGGUGAUGUAAUAUGGUUUUUUCGAUCCUUUACUGACUUUACGAUCGUUAAUGUAACAUACAUCGUAGAAGUUACACGUCAACAGCCAUUUAGCUGCUGCUACUGGCAAGGCAAAGAUAUAGCGCAAGAUCGUGGGUAUUGUCCAAUAGGUGGUAGACUACGGAUUUUGAUAUAUUUAUGAGAAAUUUGAGGAUGCAAAUGUACACAGAAUACACAUAAUACGGAUAUUGUAUAGAACACGCUGCGCUUAAGCUCCGUUCUUCGUAACUGUGCCUAUAAAGAUGUAAAUUUGCAUAAAUAUCUGCUAGUAGUAAAUAUAAAAGCAGAAUGAAUUUAUAAUACA